UUUUCCAUUUGUUCAUGUGUGAUAACUGAUAAGACAUGUUUAGAAAUUACAGCGCAGUGACUUUGAUUUAUGUUAUAACAAUGUCGACUGUAGUAAAUGCAGGUCCAUGUUCUUCUUCAGGUAUUCAUAAUGAAUUCCACACAUCACGACUUCCCGAACUAAAUUUAGAUAACGGUGCAGAACAAGUUACAGAAAAAAAACGUAAACGCUGUUGCCCGUAUAACUUUGACGGAAAACUUUGUCGUAAUGUGGGAAAUAGAAUUUUGUGUGGCUAUAAUAUAAAUAUUGGAAGCCCAAAUGUUGAUAGCGAAGACAUCAAUUUAAAUAAUGGUUGCCGAUUAAAACAGGGUAGAUUAGAAUGUGGCUAUGAUGAACCGCCUUACAUAAACUUUCGCAGACCUCCGUCUUGGGAUAAUGCUGUCCAACCUAAGAUAUCUAAAGAAGACGGAGAUAUCAUAUCAAAAGAAUCAACAUUACUUCAUAAAAAGCUAUAUUUAAAAACCACUAUUGCACCGAAACCAACUACACAAUGUCUUGAAAUAAGGGAACGUAUUGUAUGUAGAAGUAUAUAAUUAAAGUGAAUAUUUAAAUCCA